rnacentral:lncRNA from 1 species
UAGGAAGUAGCUAGUUGGGUAAGCCACCAACAGUUAAGCGGUUUCUUAUCUACAGUAGUGUCAUCGGUUUGGUUUAUUUGAAGGUAUACAGAUGCAUACUUAAGAUUUUUGGCAAAAAAAGUUUAUAUAUAACCGGUCUCUAUAUCCACUCGGAUAUAUGCAGUCAUUUUUUUAUUUCAGAAACUCUGGGAACUUGGCACAAGUAGGGGAUGUAGCCCCUCAAAUACCUAAUCUAAAAUUCAUGUUCCUAUGGAGAUUUGAACCCGGACCUUGGGUGUUACUCAGGUCACUGUAGCCACUAUGCUACA